ACGCUCGACACCUACGGGAGACAGCAGUGGGGAAUAUUGCACAAUGGGGGAAACCCUGAUGCAGCGACGCCGCGUGAGCGAAGAAGUAUCUCGGUAUGUAAAGCUCUAUCAGCAGGGAAGAAGAAUGACGGUACCUGACUAAGAAGCUCCGGCUAAAUACGUGCCAGCAGCCACGGUAAUCUGAGCGGGCUGGCAAGGC
rnacentral:rRNA from 1 species